GAACUGAGAAGUGAAUCAAAGAGGUGGCAAAGGACAGAGAGAAGAGUGUGGGAGGGACAAAAACGCAAUAAGAAGACCAGAAAAAUUAAAUAGGCACAUAGAUGUGCCAAUGCGCACUCACAACUUGUUUGGAUGGUUGUUACGCAUUGCUUCAAUAUGUAUUGUAUCAUACUGUAUGUUUUGAUGAAUACAACAUUUGGAUACAUUGCAUUGUUCCCCGCCAUUUCAUAAUUUUAUGCACCAACAAUUUGAAGAAUAAGUUUACAGUAUUACAAAUAAAAGUAGAGUACAUGGCAUAUAUUUAUUAUAAAAAUGGGUAGAGUAAAGGGUAAGAUAUGAUUAUUGAAUAAUAUUAAGGAAAAAAUAAGGGUAACAAUGCGACCAUACCAAAUGGGAUUGUUGGUUUUUUAAAAGAUGGAGCAGCAAAAAGAUUAAAAGUAUUUGAAAAUGUCUCAAUAAUUUUAUUUAGCAUAACAAGGCUUUAAAUAGCCAAUUUAAAAAUAGAAUUUGCAGUAAAAUCAGGAGAAUAAAUAUUCAAAUUCAAAAACCUAAACUAUCUCAACUAACUUAUCCUAUUAAAUUUAAAUUUAAACAAAGACUCCUCCUUCAACCGAACUACUUAUUAUUUUGGUAAAUCAAUUAUCAGCAGUAACAAAUGUAAAAUCCAACAGGGACGUUAUAUAAAAUGGAACAUUUCGUCGUUACGUAACAACACAUAUAACAAUACGAUGCAAUACAAUUUUAAGUAACAAUCAAAACAAAUAUUGUAUCUAACGUAACAACAUGAUACAAUACAAUACAAUAAGUAAAAACAAUGUCAAACCUAAUAACACAAAAUAAUUCAAUCUCUUCUUUUGUUCUUUUCAUAUCCAGGAAUGUAUAUCUUACUAUUGUUACUACUUAUUGCAAUGUUUUUUUCCCAUCUUUUCUUUAGCCGAUGAUCUACUAAAAACAACUUCUCUACCCUCCCAGGUAAAGUAUGCAUCCACACUACCCUCCUCAGACCCCACUUGUGUAAAUUCACGCCCAGGGUACGGAUAAGGUCAGCAUCCAAAGGCGAAACCAGAAGUUAAAGUUUAUGGGUUCUAAAUUUAUCAUAAAACCUAUAGCUCGUCUUAGUUACUGGGCUCACAAUUAAAUAUUUUAUAUUUAUAUUUAAUCAAUUUCCAGGUAUAAAUACAAUAUUUAAGCAAACGUGAAAGGGUACAGCCGAACCCUUACACUAUAUGAUAGCUCCGCCUCUAUCUCCGUCCACACUACCCUCCCCAGACCCCACUUGUGUAAAUUCAGAAAUCUGAAACAAUAUUAUGCUGUAGCAAAUUCCCAUAAAACAAUUUAAUAUAAAAUUUUAGCACAAUUAUCGAAGAUCGCGAAAUACAAUUAAAAAGACUGAAUCUUUGAAAAACUUUCAGAAACGAAUCAAAGGGAAUUAGGAGGUGGGAGAUUUCAGUAAUGGGAGAUAAAACUAAACACUUACGACAAAUGGGUACCUUAAAGGCGUAAACUUUGAUUGAAAAAACAACUCUGAACUGAGAAGUGAAGAAAAGUGUGGGCAAAGGCGUGAAUGGCGUCCGGUCGAGGAAAAACCUUUAACCCUUAGGGUUUAAGCGCGAAUUAUGUUGGUUUGAUAAUAAAUAGAUUUAUAUGUUGGUUUGCUAAUAAGUAGAAACUGGCUCAAACUGGUUUGAUAAUAAAUAG
rnacentral:lncRNA from 1 species